GACGAACGUUGGCGGCGUGCUUAAUACAUGCAAGUCGACUGAAGCAGUGGUAGCAAUAUCGCUGUGGAGGUGGCGCACGGGUGAGUAACACGUAGGUAAUCUGCCUUCAGGUCUGGCAUAACUCCGGGAAACCGGGGCUAAUAGCAGAUGAUGCAGCGGCUCGACAUCGAGACAGUUGUUAAAGCUAUGGCGGCUGAAGAUGAGCCUGCGCCUGAUUAGCUAGUUGGCGGGGUGACGGCCCACCAAGGCAACGAUCAGUAGCUGGUCUGAGAGGAUGAUCAGCCACACUGGAACUGAGACACGGUCCAGACUCCUACGGGAGGCAGCAGUAAGGAAUAUUGCUCAAUGGGAGAAAUCCUGAAGCAGCAACGCCGCGUGAGGGACGAAGGGCUUUUGCUUGUAAACCUCUGUAGUGAGAGAAAAAAAUCCCAAUCUUUGGGACAUGAUGGUAUCUCAAAAGUAAGCCCCGGCUAACUACGUG
rnacentral:rRNA from 1 species